UCAAGAUCAGCUUGAAAUAGUCCUCUUUGGUGUUGAUUUUUUUUCUCCAAGAACAAUCACCCUGCGAAUCUGAACGAAGCUUGGAUUAUGAAGCAACUAAGAUCUAAAAAUUAGUAAAGAAAAAGAGAUGCCCAAUCUCCUCUUGGGUGUGGAGAUGGAGGACACCCAACUAGUUUGGGCGUUGGAUCCAAAGGGAGAAG
rnacentral:lncRNA from 1 species